GCGGGAGUAGCUCAGUCGGCUAGAGCAUCAGCCUUCCAAGCUGAGGGUCGCGGGUUCGAGACCCGUCUCCCGCUCCA
rnacentral:tRNA from 1 species